rnacentral:tRNA from 1 species
GCCUGAGUGGCUCAGUUGGUUAAGUGUCUGACUUCAGCUCAGGUCAUGAUCUCACAGUUCGUGGGUUUGAGCCCCGCAUCAGGCU